GGGACUUGGUGGAGACGACAGUUUCAGGUUCAGGAUUCUUACUUUCAAAAAUAGGGAAAAGAUGUUUGCACCAUGACUGAGCAUUUUCUACGUACCAAGGCUCCUUUACCAUCAUUCCAUCUAAUCACAACAAGUGCGUCAUGAAGAAGAGACGACCACCUCUACCUUACAGAUCAGGAAAAUCAGGUUCACCAGAAAGAAACAGAAAUUUUGCCACCUCCUGUAUCUCCCCUUCCAUUGGAACGUUUCUUCGAUGGAAUCCAGAAGUUCCUUUAUAGUUGUGUUCUCAGGGCUUGGUGAUGCCGUCUUCCCAACUGAAGGCUUUCAGAAAUUAUAAGGAGCAGUUAGCUUUAUCAUGCUGGUGGAAUUUGCCCUCCUUGGGGCUUUUGUCUCCUCAAUAAAAAAUGUCACCUCAUGCUUGAGACCCAGGUUUGACCCCUAGUUCAGAAAGAUCCCCUGGAGAAGGGAAUGGCGACCCAUUCCAGUAGUCUUGCCUGGAGAAUUCCAAGGAUGGAGGAGCCUGGCGGGUUAUAGUCCAUGGGGAUCGCAAAGAGUCAGACCCGACUGAGUAGCUAACCCUUUCACUUUCAUGCUUGAAGAGCACCCCUCUCCCUAAUGUGCCCAAGCAACCUUCAGGAUGCUCUGCUGCCACCUGGACACUAACCCGGAAAGGGGAGAAGACUCAACUCCUUAGCAGCAUUCCUUCCAUUUAGACCAGUGGACCUCAUCUUGGCUCUGUAAUAUAUGAAGAUAGCACAGAAUAUCCUAAGAAAUAUUUGUGAAUCUCUGUUGAAC
ensembl:lncRNA